AGUGAACGCUGGCGGUAGGCCUAACACAUGCAAGUCGAACGGAAGCACAGUAAGAGCUUGCUCUUACGGGUGGCGAGUGGCGGACGGGUGAGGAAUACAUCGGAAUCUACUUUUUCGUGGGGGAUAACGUAGGGAAACUUACGCUAAUACCGCAUACGACCUACGGGUGAAAGCAGGGGAUCUUCGGACCUUGCGCGAUUGAAUGAGCCGAUGUCGGAUUAGCUAGUUGGCGGGGUAAAGGCCAACCAAGGCGACGAUCCGUAGCUGGUCUGAGAGGAUGAUCGGCCACACUGGAGCGGAGACACGGUCCAGGCUCCUACGGGAGGCAGCAGUGGCGAAUAUUGGAAAAUGGGCGCAAGCCUGAUCCAGCCGUACCGCGUGGGUGAAGAAGGCCUUCGGGUUGUAAAGCCCUUUUGUUGGGAAAGAAAAGCAGCAGGUUAAUACCCCGCUGUUCUGACGGUACCCAAAGAAUAAGCACCGGCUAACUUCGUG
rnacentral:rRNA from 1 species